rnacentral:rRNA from 1 species
GAUGAACGCUAGCGGCAGGCCUAAUACAUGCAAGUCGAACGGGUGGUCGCAAGACCACUAGUGGCGCACGGGUGCGUAACGCGUAACCAACCUGCCCCGAUCUGGGGGAUAGCCCGCCGAAAGGCGGAUUAAUACCGCAUAUACCCGCAGCCUGGCAUCAGGCAACGGGGAAAGAUUUAUUGGAUCGGGAUGGGGUUGCGUGACAUUAGCUAGUUGGCGGGGUAAGGGCCCACCAAGGCGACGAUGUCUAGGGGACCUGAGAGGGUGAUCCCCCACACUGGAACUGAGAGAAGGGCCAGACGCCUACGGGAGGAAGCAGUAGGGAAUAUUGGGCAAUGGGCGAGAGCCUGACCCAGCCAUGCCGCGUGCCGGAUGAAGGCCUUCUGGGUUGUAAACGGCUUUUCUCAGGGAAGAAAAAGACCUUGCGAGGUACACUGACGGUACCUGAGGAAUAAGCACCGGCUAACUACGUG